rnacentral:tRNA from 1 species
GCUCCUAUAGUUUAACGGAUAGAACAUGCGGUUGCGGUCCGCAUAAUCAGGGUUCAAUUCCUUGUGGGAGCG